UACGAAGGGGGCUAGCGUUGUUCGGAAUUACUGGGCGUAAAGCGCACGUAGGCGGAUAUUUAAGUCAGGGGUGAAAUCCCAGAGCUCAACUCUGGAACUGCCUUUGAUACUGGGUAUCUUGAGUAUGGAAGAGGUAAGUGGAAUUGCGAGUGUAGAGGUGAAAUUCGUAGAUAUUCGCAGGAACACCGGUGGCGAAGGCGGCGACCUGGUCCAUUACUGACGCUGAGGCGCGACAGCGUGGGGAGCAAACAGG
rnacentral:rRNA from 1 species